rnacentral:rRNA from 1 species
GACGAACGCUGGCGGCGUGCUUAACACAUGCAAGUCGAACGAAGAGCGAUGGAAGCUUGCUUCUAUCAAUCUUAGUGGCGAACGGGUGAGUAACGCGUAAUCAACCUGCCCUUCAGAGGGGGACAACAGUUGGAAACGACUGCUAAUGCCGCAUACGAUCUGACCUCGGCAUCGAGGAUAGAUGAAAGGUGGCCUCUAUUUAUAAGCUAUCACUGAAGGAGGGGAUUGCGUCUGAUUAGCUAGUUGGAGGGGUAACGGCCCACCAAGGCGAUGAUCAGUAGCCGGUCUGAGAGGAUGAACGGCCACAUUGGGAAUGAGACACGGCCCAGACUCCUACGGGAGGCAGCAGUGGGGAAUCUUCCGCAAUGGACGAAAGUCUGACGGAGCAACGCCGCGUGAGUGAUGACGGCCUUCGGGUUGUAAAGCUCUGUUAAUCGGGACGAAAGGCCUUCUUGCGAAUAGUUAGAAGGAUUGACGGUACCGGAAUAGAAAGCCACGGCUAACUACGUG